rnacentral:lncRNA from 1 species
UUUUUUUUUUUUUUUUUUUUUUAGCUUGAGCUGUCAAGAUGCUGUGGUGAAUAAAUCACUGCCUCACAGGUCUUUCAUUCCUGUCAAAAGAUCUUUAGAGACAGAUAGAAUUCCUUUUACACUUGCUACUUGAAUGAGGACUGCAAACGCUACGGUGACUUUUAGUGUGGAGAGUGGAAGCCUGGCUGUGAAUAAACAGUGACAUCCUGGCUUUUCUGCUGCAAAAAGAGAAUUUUUUGAGUUAAAACAGUUAAAACUGAGGGGUGGGGUUACUGUGUGUUAUUUCUUCUCUCUAAAUGCAGAUCUCUGCUCAGAAAGCCAGGGUCUAUUUAUCAGGCUUAAGCCUUGAGGGAAUAAGAAGAAAGGAGAGAAGGGAAUGUCUCUAAAGUAGCACUGGACAGGGGCAAAUGUGGGUAGAAGAAAAGACUGAGCUGCUUGAGAGUGGGAUCGAGUUUGUCUUACUUUGCUCUGCCUGUUGCAGGCACGUGUGGGGCAGGCUAGAUGGAGCGUUUGUUAACUGACUUAGGUGAUGACAGAGUCACUGACCUGGCCUUUCCUCCCUUCUCCAAUCUUUUCUCACACUCAAGCAAAAGAGACCUUUUCAAAUGAGUUCUUGUGUAUGUCCUUCCCAAAUCUUACACUCUGCUUAAAACCUUUCAGUGAUUUUCCAGAAUUCUCAGAAUAAAGCUAAAAUUACUGAAUAUGAAUAUAGUCUACCAGUCCCUGCCUAGUCUGCGUUGCGGCCUCAUUUUGCCUCAAAUCUCCGUCUAUUUUGCUGUUUCACCUGCUAUGGUCUUAGAUUUCCCGGCAAUGCCCUGUACUCCUUCCCACUGCAGGACCUCUGCACGUGCUCUUGUUUUGGCCAGUGAGUUCUCCUGGGCCCACCCCCUUACUUUGAGCUCUCAAAGAUCCAUGUUCUUCCCACAAGCUCCAGAGAACACGGAUUGGCUUUUGUUUGCUCAUUAUAUUAUCCUCAGCACAGUGCCAGUCACAUAGAAAAUACUAAUUGAAACCACCUUUGCAAAAACUGUAACAGUGAGAAAAUUAUGACAGACAAAGAGAUCUGAUCUAACCAACCCCCAUUUUACCCUUAACCUUGGUCAUUCCUGGGCUUGGGCCAAGCUAACUUUGGGAGAAAUUUAGUAUAUAGUUUAAAUGGUAAUAGCCCUUCCCCAAACUGAACCACCUUUGUAAAACUAAGACCAUCAGGUUAGGAGGAUGAGAGAAGACUGAAUUCUGCUGAGAGGUAGAUAUAAAUGAUGACUAGUCAUUAUUCUGGAAAUCAGCUUCCUCAAUUACUCCUGCAGAUAACACCACUGUUGCGGAACCUGAGAUUGGCCUUUUGAGUUGUCUUUUCCAGCUUUUACAUUUAUGAUGACUUGAUGGCCCCACCUGGACCUGAGACACUGGACUUAACUGGUCCUGUGGCCCUCCCCCAGAAGCAGGCUCAGUGCACUAGGACC